GUCCACGCCCUAAACGAUGAGUACUAGACGUCCGCACCAUUGACCGUGCGGGUGUCGAAGCUAACGCGAUAAGUACUCCGCCUGGGGAUUACGGUCGCAAGACUAAAACUCAAAGGAAUUGACGGGGACCCGCACAAGCGGUGGAGCAUGUGGUUUAAUUCGUCGCUACGCGAAGAACCUUACCUAGGUUUGACAUGCCGCGAAUCUGCUAGAAAUAGUGGAGUGCCUUCGGGAGCGCGGACACAGGUGCUGCAUGGCUGUCGU
rnacentral:rRNA from 1 species